AAAUUCGGGGUGGGUCUUGUCAAUGCGCGUGUGCCAUUUCCAAGCAGGUUUCAAAAAUCAAAGAACGAAGAAUCUAAUCAAGCCAUCUUGGAAGUUUUUAAGAAAGUUCAAGUGAACAUGCCAUUUAUUGACUGCAUUACUCAAGUCCCCAAAUAUGCAAAAAUUUUGAAAGAGUUGUGCACCACAAGGAGGCAAACAAGAGAGAAAGAAGUUGUGAAAAUGAGUGAGACUGUUUCUGCAGUUCUCCAAAGGAAGUUACCACCCAAGCUAAAGGAUCUAGGGAGUUUUUCUAUCCCUUGUGUAAUUGGUGAUACUACUUUUGACAGUGUCAUGCUUGAUCUAGGUGCAUCCAUUAAUAUUAUGCCAUAUAGCUUAUAUGCAUCUAUGGACUUAGGUGAACUGAAGAAAGACAAUGUCAUAAUUCAAUUGGCAGAUAGGUCUAACAAGUAUCCUAAGGGAUAUGUAGAGGAUGUUCUUGUGCAAGUUAAUCACUUGAUUGUCCCUACAGAUUUCUACAUCAUUGAUAUUGAAGACUCACCCUCCAGUUCAACUCCUAUACUUUUAGGGCAUCCUUUCACGAGAACUGCAAGAACAAAGAUUGAUGUGCAUGCUGGCACAUUGACAAUGGAGUUUGAUGGAGAAGUUAUUGGAUUCAACAUCUUUGAAGCCAUGAGGUAUCCCUUACCUGAGCUUAAACCAUGCUAUUCUAUUAAUAUUGUUGACUCUCUUGCACAUAAUUUCCUAAAUUCAAUGAUCGACGAUAAAUUGGAAUACACCAUUGCUCAAGGAGUGGGAUACAAUGCUAAUGGUGCCCCUGUGUCGACAACAGAAUUAGAGGAAAUAUGGGAUGACGUUGUGCUUGAAAACGUCGCCGCUCUUCAAAGCCUACCAAUUAGGUCUGAUUCUCUAUUGUCUCUUCCCAUUUCCACUAACAAGUUAUUACCAUUUGUGGAACAAGCACCCAAGUUGGAAUUGAAAGCACUACCUGAUCAUUUGAAGUAUGUAUACUUGGAAGAGGCUGAGACUUUGCCAGCAAUUAUGUCAUCCAAGCUAGACAAGGAACAAGAAAAGAGAUUGGUGGAGGUAUUGAAGAAAUACAAGACUGCUAUCGGAUGGACUUUAGCAGACAUCAAGGGAAUAAGCCCAACCACAUGUGUCCAUCGAAUUCUGCUGGAAGAUGGAGCAAAACCCACCAGAGAGGCCCAAAGAUGUCUACACCAACCAAUGAUGAAGGUGGUUCAAGACGAAGUCAUCAAGUUGUUGGAUUGUGGAGUGAUCUACCCCAUAUCUGAUAGUAAAUGGGUCUCUCCUGUUCAAGUAGUUCAAAAGAAAUUUAGAGUGACAGUUGUGAAAAAUGCUGAAAAUGAGCUAGUGCCCCAACGAGUUGUGACUGGACAUAAAGUCUGCAUUGACUAUAGAAAGCUCAACGCCACCACAAGAAAGGAUGCUUGAGAGGUUAGCUGGUCAUGACUUUACUGUUUCUUGGAGGAUAUAGUGGCUACAACCAGAUCUGCAUAGCCCAAGAAGACUAAGAGAAGACUACAUUCACAUGUCCCUUUGGCACUUUUGCCUACAGGCGUAUGCCCUUCGAUUUGUGCAAUGCACCAAGUAUAUUUCAAAGAUGCAUGAUGUCUAUUUUCUCUGAUUAUAUUGAAAAUAUAAUUGAGGUCUUUAUGGAUGACUUUAGUGUCUUUGGUAAGGAUUUUGAUUCAUGUUUGGGAAAUUUAGAACUCAUUUUAAAAAGGUUUGAUAAGGCCAAGAUUGAUCUUAUUCGUUACUUACCAUACCCCACUACUAUGAGGGAGAUACGUUCGUUUCUUGGCCAUGCAGGUUUUUAUCGCAAGUUUAUCAAGAACUUUUCCAAGAUAGCCAGACCCCUAACUCGCCUCCUUCAAAAGGAGAUAGCCUUUGAUUUUGAUGACGAAUGCAAGGAGGCAUUUGAGAAGUUGAAGGAAUUGUUGACAACAGCACCAGUGAUGCUACCCCCAAACUGGGACAAGCCCUUUGAGUUGAUGUGUGAUGCAUCUGAUUAUGUUGUUUGAGCUGUGCUAGGGCAGCGGAAGGAUAAGAAGCCCUAUGCCAUUUACUAUGCCUCAAGAACGCUCAAUGAUGCACAAUUGAAUGACUCUACCACUGAAAAAGAGCUUCUUGUUGUUGUAUUUGCUUUAGAUAAAUUUCGUUCUUAUUUGCUUCAAUUUAAAGUAAUUGUUUAUACUGAUCAUGCAGCAUUGAGGUAUUUGUUUACAAAGAAAGAGGUAAAACCAAGGCUUAUUCGAUAGAUGUUGUUACUCCAAGAAUUUGAUAUUGAGAUUAAAGACAAGAAGGGGAGUGACAACAUGGUUGCUGACCACUUGAGCAGACUAGUACGCGAAGAGGACGCCUUGCCCUUGUGUGAGACGUUUCCAGAUGAACUACUCUUCGGAAUUGAGGUAAGUGAACCCUUGUAUGCUGAUAUUGUGAAUUUUCUUGUGACUAAGACUUUUCCAGACACUUUACCUCGUUCUCAAAAAGAAAAACUUAAGAAAUUGGCUAGGCAUUACAUUUGGGAUGAUCCUUAUUUGUGGAAACAUUGUCAAGAUCAAAUAAUUAGGAGGUGUGUCCCUGAAAAUGAGACUUGUGAUAGGUGUCAGAGAUUAGGAAACCUAGGACCCAAAGAUCAAAUGCAUUUACACCAUAUUAUAACUGUGGAAAUUUUUGAUGUGUGGGGUAUUGAUUUUAUGGGACAUUUUCCUUCAUCCAAUGGAUAUUUGUAUAUUCUUGUGGUAGUUCAUGAUGUGUCUAAAUGGGUGGAAGCGAUAGCCACCAAAACUAAUGAUUCCAAAGUUGUUGCAAAUUUCCUUCGCUCUCACAUCUUUUGCAGGUUUGGAAUGCCGCAAGUUAUCAUAAGCGAUGGAGGAUCACAUUUCUGCAACAAAUCAAUUGAGGCUCUGCUGAAAAAGUACAAUAUGACACACAAGGUUUCCACACCUUACCAUCCUCAGACGAGUGGACAAGCAGAGAUCUCUAACCGUGAGAUUAAGAGAAUUUUGGAGAAGACAGUGGGCCCAACACGGAAAGAUUGGAGCCAAAAGCUAAACGAUGCAUUGUAG